rnacentral:rRNA from 1 species
GAUGAACGCUGGCGGCGUGCCUAAUACAUGCAAGUCGAGCGAACAGGCGAGGAGCUUGCUCCUCUGACGUUAGCGGCGGACGGGUGAGUAACACGUGGAUAACCUACCUAUAAGACUGGGAUAACUUCGGGAAACCGGAGCUAAUACCGGAUAAUAUAUUGAACCGCAUGGUUCAAUAGUGAAAGACGGUUUUGCUGUCACUUAUAGAUGGAUCCGCGCCGCAUUAGCUAGUUGGUAAGGUAACGGCUUACCAAGGCAACGAUGCGUAGCCGACCUGCGAGGGUGAUCGGCCACACUGGAACUGAGACACGGUCCAGACUCCUACGGGAGGCAGCAGUAGGGAAUCUUCCGCAAUGGGCGAAAGCCUGACGGAGCAACGCCGCGGGAGUGAUGAAGGUCUUCGGAUCGUAAAACUCUGUUAUUAGGGAAGAACAAAUGUGUAAGUAACUAUGCACGUCUUGACGGUACCUAAUCAGAAAGCCACGGCUAACUACGUG